rnacentral:misc_RNA from 1 species
CAGCAGAGAAACCAGGUACCUCCAUAGGCGAGGUGAGAGAUGCGUCCGAGUAUUGAGGGAAACCCUCCAUGAUGGAGUUGAGGUAGCUUUCGGCCUCUUGAAUGGUGGUCUCGGGGUUGAGAGCACCAGCAGCAGCCUGCUGGUGCUCGGCCUCCACAACAGACCAUGCUGCGGCGGCCUCUUGCUCGAAGAGGGCGAGGAGGUCGUCGAACUUGGAGGGGUCGAAGUUGUCGUCGUGGAGGGCUUGAUCGGCGAGGAAGGAGAAUUGGGCCAUUAGAG